rnacentral:lncRNA from 1 species
GACUUUUCAGGAGCAAAUCCUUUUAUGCCUUUGUUCAGCCUUUCAGUGAUGAAAAUGCAAUAGAUACCAGUAAGACUGGAUGUUUAGAGUGCUGGAAUGCUGUGUUAGUGCUGGGCACUAAUGAUAACUCUGCUCUGGUUCCUUGGGACUUGGGAAAUCAUUUGGAGGCCAGUUGGUGGCAGCUUUUGCUGGACUCACCUUUUUCAAGCAAUUCUUCAUCCGUGGCUGUGUAUUUUGGACAGUAGGGUUGGAUACCGAAGUGUAACUUGCUGCUGGCAACCAUCCCUGAGGCUUUGGCCUUUGUUGAAGGUCACAGUGAAAUUGGUUUGCUGUUGCAGAAGAUUAAUAUUGCUUAAAAAUGGCUUGCAGAACAUUCAUCGGAAGAUUUCAAAAUCUUCACAGAAGUGGGCUUGCCACAUGUUUUCCCCUCUCCCCUCUCCACUAAAAAGGAGGGCAGAGAUGAAGUUCACUGGAUUGCCCACAUUUCUGCAGUCAGCCAGCAGGAAAACCAGCAAGAUCAUUUAG